UACGGAGGAUCCGAGCGUUAUCCGGAUUUAUUGGGUUUAAAGGGUGCGCAGGCGGGAGAUUAAGUCGGCGGUGAAAUUUUGCAGCUUAACUGUAAAAGUGCCUUCGAAACUGGUUUCCUUGAGUGUAGAUGAAGUAGGCGGAAUUUGUGGUGUAGCGGUGAAAUGCUUAGAUAUCACGAGGAACUCCGAUUGCGCAGGCAGCUUACUAAACCACUACUGACGCUCAUGCACGAAAGCGUGGGGAUCAAACAGGAUUAGAUACCCCUGUAGU
rnacentral:rRNA from 1 species